rnacentral:misc_RNA from 1 species
GGCAACGGUUCGAUCCCGUUGC